rnacentral:rRNA from 1 species
UACGUAGGUGGCAAGCGUUGUCCGGAAUUACUGGGUGUAAAGGGAGCGCAGGCGGGACUGCAAGUCAGUGGUGAAAUGUAUGGGCUUAACCCAUAAAUUGCCAUUGAAACUGCGGUUCUUGAGUGGAUCAGAGGCAAGCGGAAUUCCGAGUGUAGCGGUGAAAUGCGUAGAUAUUCGGAGGAACACCAGUGGCGAAGGCGGCUUGCUGGGGUCUAACUGACGCUGAGGCUCGAAAGUGUGGGGAGCAAACAGGAUUAGAUACCCUGGUAGUCCACACUGUAAACGAUGAUUACUAGGUGUGGGGGGUCUGACCCCCUCCGUGCCGGAGUUAACGCAAUAAGUAAUCCACCUGGGGAGUACGGCCGCAAGGUUGAA